AAACCAGCACCUCAAGUGGUCAGGAUGAUUAUUGGGCCUAAAGCAUCCGUAGCCGGCUCUGUAAGUUUUCGGUUAAAUCUGUACGCUUAACGUACAGGCUGCUGGGAAUACUGCAGAGCUAGGGAGUGGGAGAGGUAGACGGUACUCGGGAGGAAGUGGUAAAAUGCUUUAAUCUCUCGAUGACCACCUGUGGCGAAGGCGGUCUACCAGAACACGUCCGACGGUGAGGGAUGAAAGCUGGGGGAGCAAACCGGAUUAGAAACCCGGGUAGUCC
rnacentral:rRNA from 1 species